GACAUAAUGCAACUAGCACAAUCUAAUAAUCACCACCACCACCACCACUAAACCCAGCUUUCUACACGACCGUACCGCAAACCGACACUGGUGCGCGAGAUGAGUAUUCUAAGGCGCUUGAGAGAACUCAGGAGAAGGAACUCGGCAAAUUGACACCGUAACUUCGGAAGAAGGUGUGCCUUUAGUAGGUGAAGUCCCUCGCGGAUGGAGCCCAAUGAGGUUGCAAAAAAUCGGUGGCUGCGACUGUUUAUUAAAAACACAGCACUCUGCAAACACGAAAGUGGACGUAUAGGGUGUGACGCCUGCCCGGUGCUGGAAGAUUAAAUGAUGGGGUGCAAGCUCUUGAUUGAAGUCCCAGUAAACGGCGGCCGUAACGAUAACGGUCCUAAGGUAGCGAAAUUCCUUGUCGGGUAAGUUCCGACCUGCACGAAUGGCGUAACGAUGGCCACACUGUCUCCUCCUGAGACUCAGCGAAGUUGAAAUGUUUGUGAUGAUGCAAUCUCCCCGCGGAAAGACGGAAAGACCCCAUGAACCUUUACUGUAGCUUUGUAUUGGACUUUGAACAGAUCUGUGUAGGAUAGGUGGGAGGCUUUGAAGCAGGGUCGCUAGAUCUUGUGGAGCCAACGUUGAAAUACCACCCUGGUGUGUUUGAGGUUCUAACCUAGGCCCGUAAUCCGGGUUGGGGACAGUGCAUGGUAGGCAGUUUGACUGGGGCGGUCUCCUCCCAAAGUGUAACGGAGGAGUUCGAAGGUACGCUAGUUACGGUCGGACAUCGUGACGAUAGUGCAAUGGCAUAAGCGUGCUUAACUGCGAGACUGACAAGUCGAGCAGAUGCGAAAGCAGGACAUAGUGAUCCGGUGGUUCUGUAUGGAAGGGCCAUCGCUCAACGGAUAAAAGGUACUCUGGGGAUAACAGGCUGAUACCGCCCAAGAGUUCAUAUCGACGGCGGUGUUUGGCACCUCGAUGUCGGCUCAUCUCAUCCUGGGGCUGUAGCCGGUCCCAAGGGUAUGGCUGUUCGCCAUUUAAAGAGGUACGUGAGCUGGGUUUAAAACGUCGUGAGACAGUUUGGUCCCUAUCUUCCGUGGGCGCUGCAGAUUUGAGGAAGCCUGCUCCUAGUACGAGAGGACCGGAGUGGACGCACCUCUGGUGUAUCGGUUGUCGCGCCAGUGGCAUUGCCGAGUAGCUAUGUGCGGAAGAGAUAACCGCUGAAAGCAUCUAAGCGGGAAACUCGUUUCAAGAUGAGAUCUGCCGGGGCCUUGAGCCCCCUGAAGAGUCGUUCAAGACCAGGACGUUGAUAGGUCGGGUGUGGAAGCGCAGUAAUGCGUUAAGCUAACCGAUACUAAUUGCUCGUGCGGCUUGACU
rnacentral:rRNA from 1 species